CAUGAUGGAAACUGAUAAAAUAUUUGCGAAAGAACAAAGAAGUGCUAUGGCAGAACUUUCAAAUAUUCUAUCAAGUCGUUCAAAUAAAUAUACUAAUAGAGAAAAAAAGAUUAAUAAGGGAUUUGAAUGGAUAAUUCAAGGUGGCGACUGUCUGACAGUCACCGGGAUCAGGUUGAUCUGGCGACUUGUGCUAAGUUUUAUCUUUUACCACAUGUUGAUUAAUUAAAUAGGAAUACAAUAUUGUGACCGAAAUCAUUAUUUAGAACUACCGUUGCUCGUUUCCUAAUUCAGCCAACGCAAAAAUUCCAUAAGGGUGAUUUCCUGCGUAAAGACAACGGAGUUACGUCACGCACCAGCAAGAUAUCGUGUGUCGAGCAGACCGUGUUCCCCCGUACGUCUCCUCGAAUACAAAGUGUUCCUGCUUUCUUUGCUUACACUUUAUUCUUGUGUUUGUCAAAAUCCGAAAGUCACGCACGCGCUAGACUUUCGCAAACGAGUGUUUAGAUAACUGUAGCAUUGG